rnacentral:tRNA from 1 species
ACUGAAAAUGCUAAGAUGAAAAAUAAUAUUUUCCGCAAGCA